UACGUAGGGGGCUAGCGUUGUCCGGAUUUAUUGGGCGUAAAGAGCUCGUAGGCGGUUUGUCGCGUCUGCCGUGAAAGUCCGGGGCUCAACUCCGGAUCUGCGGUGGGUACGGGCAGACUAGAGUCAGGUAGGGGAGAACGGAAUUCCUGGUGUAGCGGUGAAAUGCGCAGAUAUCAGGAGGAACACCGGUGGCGAAGGCGGGUCUCUGGGCCGUAACUGACGCUGAGGAGCGAAAGCGUGGGGAGCGAACAGG
rnacentral:rRNA from 1 species